rnacentral:lncRNA from 1 species
AGUUAAAGGGUCCUAGAUCAGCAGGCCAACAAUCGGAACGGUCCUUAAUCGACACAGACGGGCGACCUUUCCUGCUCAACGUCUGGUCUCAUCUUAUUAUUUAACACCCAAACCAUGUACCUGACAGAGGUACAAUACUCGAAUAAUGAAUUCAUCAUCGCGAGUGAUGCCUUCAUUAUUGCAAGUUCCUUUUUCAUAAAACCCAUAUCCAGUGUUGCACAACAUUCUUUUUAAAAGAAACAACUUUUAGUUUCUAAGCAGGGCUAAGCCUCAUUAGUUCUCUUUAUAAAACAGGUAUCAAGGAAUAGUAAUCGAAUUCCAAGGAAUGGCAAUGCAUCAAUUGUUUCAUCACUCAACUCCUAUCACCUAAUGCAGCAUAUAAGUGAUAAAAGUUUUAAAACAACAAGGAGGUGGCAAAUGCACCGGGGCUUGCCUGGGAUAACACUAUGUUAGUGUUGUUAAUUGACGACCACUUGGUGAGCAUCUUCCAUCCUGGCACUUGGUUGAUUCAUCCAUUUUAGCUUCGUCCAUCAGCAUCACUUGGAGAUCACUUCCACUCGUCUUCCAUAGCACGUGAUCAAUUAACGUACCUAAAUGAUAUGUAUGAUGCACAUGAGCAUGAGCAUGAGCACGAAGAGCAUAAGAUAGAUAAUCUAUGUUAAAGAGGAUAAAUAUUUAAAACAAGUCAUCACAACACCUAGGAGCACACUAGAUGUCAAGAUAUUACUAAGUAUCACAAGUACAUUUUUUUUACAUUUACAUAGAUCUAACUCAAGCAUCAAUCAACAAAAGGCUAUACAUGAACCUUAACUUUAUGGAUUAGAGUACACUAUCAAAGGAUUAACAUCAUUCUUAGCACUAAUGAAUAACCCACUAUUAACUAGCAUAAAAUCCUAUGGAGCAAAACUUAUCUCAACCUAUAGAUCUAAAAUACUUCUAUGCAUAACAAGCACUUCAAUUCUAAACUUUACUCCUCAAUCAUCUGGCAUUAACAUCAUGCUUAUAACUAUAAGGCGACCAAAUUAAUUCAUAAAUCUAGAUAUGUAUGUCUACUAAACCUUCUUCGCAUUAUUGAGUUCAUUAUAACCACACAAGGUCUAAUUAGCUACUAGUUCCAAUAAAUUCAUCAAAGUAUUAAUUCCCAAACUAAUAGGUUUAAAGCACACAUUAAGAAAGAAAAACUCAACCAUGUGCAAAAAGACAUUUGGAUAAACAUUUCAAAUGUCACAAGUCUUCAUCACUUAAGAAUCAAAAACUGAUUACUCCUACUUAGCCAAACAGGAAUCAAACCAAAUACCCCAUUGCAGAUUUUCUGGACAGCAUUCAGCAGUCAACGGUUUUGCUCAUAACUCACAAGAUAUUCAUCCAAAAAUCGUGAACUAAGACUUUCUAGAAAGCUUAAGAAGUCAUCUACAACUUUUGUAUUAUCAUCACAAUGAGACUUGACACUUAUAAUGGUCAAACAAUACUAAACGUAAAUUCUGUCCAGAUUUGGACAGAAUUCGACUACUUACUUCAAAAAUUCAUAACUGGAGUUUCAGGCAUCCAAAUCAGGUGAUCCUAGACUUUUUAUAAAGAUAAUAGAAUUGUCUACAAUUCAUUUAUAAUCAUCUCAAGGUGAUUCAAUGUGUAUCAAAGUCAGUUAAUUCAAACACACAUUGCUGUCCAGAUUUGGACAGAUUCAGAGAUCCUAACUCAAACAGUCGUAACUUAAUUUAUAGAUCACCAAAAAGGGUGAUCCAAAAUUUGUUGGAAAGCUUAAUCGAAGUACUACAAUUCUCCUAUAAUUACUAAGAGCUGAUUCUCAAUUUAACUUGGGCAAACAAGGUCAUUUUUGAAAUCUGUACAGAAUCUGUCCAGAUUCUGAAACUGGACUUGGAAAAAUCAUAACUCCUAAACUACUAAACCUAUGGUCAUGAAAUUUUUACACAAGUAAGAUAAAGAAUUUAUCUACAACUUUCAUAUACCACAUAUUCACUGAAAACAUGAUUUACUUCACUAAACUAGCUGCAUAACUAAAAUUGGUCAUGCAGUCUCAACAGCAAGAAUUUUAAGUUAACUCCUAAUUAACUUCUACAAUUCUCAUGUGCUAGGUACUUCAAAUAUUCUAAGACCUCAUCUUAAUGUAGAACUAAAACCACAUAAUACAAUAAAGCAUUCAUGUCACCAUACAGUAGGAAUUCGCUCAACCUCUAAUAGACCUUAUCGGCCAAGCGCUAUAAGUACUAAACUUAGAGUAUAAUGAUUUUUAGAGCCAAUCAUCGACUUCAUCAUUGGGGUUCUCAGAUUUAGCUGAAAUCAGCUUGUCAACACAAACCUGACUCAGUCCUAGUUAAGGCAUUAUGUCAAACACACGGUGAGCUCCACACUAAAGCCUUCUCCACAUGACAACCAGAGAUUUAUCUCUUCUAACCUCACACACAAAAACACACAUAACCAUAGCUAUUAAUUCGACUCGACAUCCACAAGAACUACAAUAUUCACCAGUUCACACAUUUAAUCGAGCACAAGGAAUGGAAGCCACGGCAAAAAUGGCGGGGGCUCACCGGACGAGGAGCAACGAGGCUGACAGAUCCGGCGAAGCGAGAUGCGAAGACGUCGGGACUGCACAGAUCGACAGCACAGGGUUGCAAAUAGAGUCGACGCAUGCGACGCGGAGGGAUCCGAGGCUUGCUGCUGCGUACAAGACCUCGACUUGGGUUGAGCUCGACGAGCAGCCACGGGACAUAGAGACGUUGGGACUGCCACUAUUCCCCGAGGUGGAGGUGUCGCGCUGAGAUUGGAGUCGGACCAGGGAGCGGCGCUGGUCACAAAAGGAGGAGAUCCAGUGAGGGGGCGCCUGCAGGGAGAAGUGGAGCGCUGGCUGCCAUGGAGGCUGGCGUUGAGGGAGUUCGGCCGGCGAGCUGGACACUCGGCACGGUGGGGAGCAGCGACAAAGGGAGCAAGGACGCGCGCUGGAAGGGGUGUCGAGCAGAGCUUGGGUACCAUGGACAGGAAAGGGCAGUUCCCGGGCAAGCACCAGGGUUGGCGGCGUCCAAGGAGAUGGGCUGGGCGCAGGGGCCAGGCUCGGCCACCAGGGAACAGGCGACAUCCUUGCUGCUAGUGUGGGGAGGUGAGGGGGAAGGGCAAAGGGCUGCUGGCGAGCUAGGCUGAGAGUCGAACAGCGGCGUUGAGGCAGACACUCGGAUGGCCAGCGCAGAGAAAUGUAGAGUAGCAGAGACGUGCAGAAGACUCGUAACUUUGAGAGCCCAGCGCGUGGAUAGGAGAUAAGAACAAAGGCUAGCGCUGGUGUCCACGUACGAUGUAGAAAAAAAAUAUCCAUUGCCUUCAACGGUGGUUGAGAGGAGGAUAAAAGAUAUUUUCUUUUUUUUUGUUACAAAAGAAUACAUACAUAUCCGUGUUUAGGGAUUUGGAUCUGAGCAAAAUGCAAACAGAUAGGAUCAAAAUGCUGUUAGGAUACGAUAUUAUUUUCUCGGAUUCUGGAAUAGGAAACUGAUUUGGCUAACUGUUGUUCUGGUUUCAUUUUAUUUAAACAGUCUGCCCUUAUUAGUGUCUACCGAAUUCGUAGAGACCGCUCGAAUAAGAGCGAAAUACUUAGGUGAUCUUUUUAAUUAACCUUAAUUGAUUAAUUUUAAACUGGCACUAGGCUCGACCUUGCUGAUAGCGGUUUAACACCGAACUCCGCAAUAUAUUUUGGACAGUUCAGAGAAAAAAUAAAGACAGAUGCGAUGUUGAAAAUUUGGAUAGGUGAAGAUGAUUAGGACAUAGAGGCCAUUAUUCUCACCGAUAAUUCUUGUUUAAAUCCAUACUCUCUGUGUUUGAUUUAAUUGAAACCAGAUAAAUCUCAUCUGCUAUCAACCCAAAUACUUGAUUAUCGACCUCGCGCAUGGUUUCUCUUGGACAACGGGCGGUACAGAUUAUUUUGCACCGAACAUUUUAGUCGUUGAAUUCUAAUAAAUUUAUUUGGGGCAAAAUUACAAGGCUGGGUUUUAGCCCGAUGUCGACGGAUCAAAUUAAACGAUAUUGGAUUCGAUAUUUUAAUAGACAUUCGAUUUAGUUGAACCUAAACGAAUUUCGUCGCUAACCGAACAUUUAGCUAGAGAGCAGCUCAAUUUAUAACUCUAUGCCUUGUUUUUCUUGGAUAUGGAGUGUGGUCGAAUUUAUAAAAUCAAACUCUUUCUGAAAUCAUAUUCACGUACUCGAUCGAUCUGAACAGCAUAGACUUAACGUCUUGAAAGAUUUUUUUUAAAGUCCAAAUUUCUCUAAAUUUUCUUUAAACGAUUUAGAUAGAUAGAGACAAAUACGAUAUUAAAAUCGUGAUAGACAAAGAUGACUAGAAUUCAGUGACCAUUUUAUUCACCGCUAUCACGUAUUAAAGUCCGCACUCAUGGUCGAGUAGAUGAUAAACACCUGGGGUGUUACAACCUUACCCCCUUAAAAGAAUCUCGUCCCGAGAUUCAGAACGAAAGACUUCUAAGAGUAGAGAAGCAUGUAACUCAUGUCCAUAUCAGCGAUAGCAUAAGGUAGUUCCAAGCAAGGGCGAGUGUCAAGAGGUUGUUUGAUUGUUUCAGCUAACAACACAAAAAUCAUUUCAAGGGAAAAGUCUACGAAAGAUAAUAUGUUAAUGUAGUUCCAUAAUGGAUCAUGACUAGAGACCUCGAUACCAGUAGGCGCCAAGCAGCAUAACCUUGCGUGUACAUUCACAAGGGGCUCUCAGUUUCGCUGCGGCACCAUAAGUCCUUAAUCAUGACACCAUCACCGAACUGACACCAAUAAUGAAUCUCACAUAGCGUAAAAAGAUUUUGCCCAGAUAACACAUUGAUAUAGCUUCCUAAUGGAUUACAACUACUAACCGUGAUACCAGCGCGUGCCGAGCAGCACAACCGUGUGUAUACCCACAGGAGGCCCUCGGUUUCGUCGCGGCACCGUCAGUUUUAGUCAUAACGCCAUUACCAAGCUCAACCAAUGAAAAACCUUAUGUGGCACACAUAGACCAAGCAAGGAUGACAAGAUACAAAAGAGACUCCACCUUUAAGAAGGAUAUAAGUAGAGAGCCAAGUAGAUCAUGGCCCGAUGAAAUGAACACGAUACGUCCGAAACCAAAAAUUUGUUGAUAAGGGAGUACGAUGGGAGACUGUUACUUUAGCCCCAAGCAUAUUUCUAUGUCCAUCGCAGAGAUUAUCAUGUCAAUAAUUAGUGUCCAAUAAGAUAUGGAAGGGAAACAAUCAUAAGAUUAAAUUGAUAAGCCUUCGAGAGAUAUGAAAAAAACUAAGGCAUUAAAUUCAACAAAAUGAUUGGGCACUGCUUUCCUAGGUUGGACUGAGAAAGCAACAAGAUGAUCCUGAUGGAGACGCAAACUGACAUAGAGAUAUCAGCUUGCACCAACCGAACAAAGGUAUGUUUUAGGAUGAAAAUAUGACCAUAAGAGCUACAAGUUGGCUGUUAAGAUCAGGGACUCGAGAUUGUUAUUAUUUUUUUAAGUUUGAGUGCAUCUUAGGUCCAAUAAGGGGAUUACCUAAACAUCUAUUUAUAUGACCUUGAUCACAAAGUAACGAUGGAAAAAUUCAGACUCGUCCACGUUUGGAAACUGGGGAAAAAUUUCAGGGAAUUAACAUCGAUUUGGGUCAUGGCUCCUAGAUGAGGACAUGGCCAAAUUUUUAGUUUACACAAACAUACCACCAACAUUCUACCGGCACAAACACACCAGAACAAACACAAGUUGGACUAGCGGUCAAACUAAGAAGAACCAUAGGCCACAUAAAUACAUGUCUAAAGGACCCAACAAACAAGACUAGAAAUUUGCUUAUAGGAUAGUAAUGCUUCACACAUUUUCCAAUUAUUUAUUAUCGGAAUAAAGAUGAGAAAAGCAUGUUAGUUCACAAUCACCUAUUAUUAGAAUAAAGGUGAGGGAAGCAUUUUUUUGUGCGCAAACAACAGACACAAUGCAACAAUCAGAAUGCAUGCUCGUCCUAUUCGGCCUCACCAGUUUUGCCAACAUAACGUGGCAAUAGCGUUCUAUAUCGGUGGCAUAACUACGUCUCUCUCGGUAUAUUGCUAGUCGUCAGCUACACAUACGAGUUCGAAGUUAGUGUACCUGCAGAAAAUUUCCAUCACAGCCCAAUUCCCAAUGAUGCAAUUCAUACAUGACAGUUUAUCACAAUUUAUACUCCAUAUAUUUCUAUAUGGAGGCCAGCUCCUCAUUAAGCGCCGAGCCACGCAUAGGCGCCGCUGCCACACUUUAACCAUAGGGCAGCUCAUUAUGGUAACUCACCUUUUUACUUGAGCGUAGGUGCGUCGUUGCAAGUACAUUACACUUCUCAGUAUUCCCAUGUCUGCAUACCCAUACACAUCCAUGGGGUACUGAAUCCCAGAAAAUUAAAUACUCCACAUCACAGCCUUCAUAUAUACAUAUGUAAAACAUGUAUAUAAUCAAGCGUUGUUUAUGCUCUCCCCUAGACCGACGUUUGUCCGGUCACGCUCUCACAUCUCACCUUACCUGAGCGUCGAUCCAUUCAAGACUGAAUGGCCUCAAAAACAACAUUACACAUGUAUGCAUCACCCUUCCCAGGUUGUGAGUUAGUAUUCUGAACUAAGCCACCUAGUAGUCCUUAACUUAGGGCUUAUAGAGGAUGUCGCUAGCAUUAUAGUUUUUCAAAUCUGUUUUUCAAAACCAAACAAUGUGUUUAGUUGAAAAUAGGUUUUCUAAAACCAAAACUUUUGUUUUGAAAAUACGUAUGUGACCGUAUAUACUUAACCCUGCUCCGAUACCAGCUGUCGCAGAACCUCCCAAGUUAUCGGGCCCACAUGCACCUGUCCUUGUCUCAAAGACCUCAGACGGCUAUGCAUGUGCACCAAACAACUUAACAGGAUCUGUCCGAGUGUCCCGAGGACCCCGGAUAAACGACUUACCGCCAAGAUCGCAGGAUUAAGUAAACACAAAUCACACACCAACAUUUGCAGCGGAAAUUCUUUAUUACAAAAUGGUUACAAGUUACAACAUUUACAAGUUAUAACAAGAUUACAAUAUAUAUCGUCGGAGUUGAUUACAAAAGAAAUUGAUUCAAAAAGAUUACAAUUUGAAUGUAUAAAACAUUUAUAAGUUUUAAAAUACAUGCUAGCUUAAGUGACAGUCCUCAAUAAAGAAGCUAAAGAUGGGAUAUACUUAUAUAAGAAGGCCGAGCCCACCAGCACUUAGCACCAUCCAAAACAGAACAAACUUAUAACCUGAAAAACAACAGGGAAUAAAACCCUGAGUACGCAAUUACUCAGCAAGACUUACCCGACUAAAGAAAAGACUCUCAAGGGUAUGCUGGAUUUAAAAGGAUUCAAGGUAAGGCUCAUCAAGUUUCAAGACUCAUUUUUGCAGAAAAGCUUACUAGUAGUGGAUCCUUAUGCAAAAAUUUUACUUCACAAAUUAAGUACUUUUCCUGAAUCUAGAUUUAUCUAAUCUAGAGCAUUCACUUGUCCUACACUAGCUUCAUUUUAGCAACUUUAGUUUCACUUGUUAUCUACGAUGAGGGUCGAAGAUCCAGUCUUCAUAUCCGAGAAGUUCGGCGAUCCGAAUCGAUUAAUACCCAGCUGGGGAUCUCCAACCACACGACAUAUGUAGCACUUAACCCUUGCAUAUGUCAACUCGCCACCGGGUUUCUCAAGACCAGAACGGGUCCCCGCCAACCGAGAGCUCAGUACCCCACCAUCCAGCCUCUUGCCAGGUGAAUACACGAUACUCUCGCCAUCUCUCCACUCCCAUUGCGGGCCGGCCUUUUUGGUAUUGGUCCAGCCGAGGCUAAGCUUACCCAUGAUGAGGCAUGUGGCCAGUUAAAGGGUCCUAGAUCAGCAGGCCAACAAUCGGAACGGUCCUUAAUCGACACAGACGGGCGACCUUUCCUGCUCAACGUCUGGUCUCAUCUUAAUAUUUAACACCCAAACCAUGUAACUGAUAGAGGUACAAUACUCGAAUAAUGAAUUCAUCAUCGCGAGUGAUGCCUUCAUUAUUGCAAGUUCCUUUUUCAUAAAACCCAUAUCCAGUGUUGCACAACAUUCUUUUUAAAAGAAACAACUUUUAGUUUCUAAGCAGGGCUAAGCCUCAUUAGUUCUCUUUAUAAAACAGGUAUCAAGGAAUAGUAAUCGAAUUCCAAGGAAUGGCAAUGCAUCAAUUGUUUCAUCACUCAACUCCUAUCACCUAAUGCAGCAUAUAAGUGAUAAAAGUUUUAAAACAACAAGGAGGUGGCAAAUGCACCGGGGCUUGCAUGGGAUAACACUAUGUUAGUGUUGUUAAUUGACGACCACUUAGUGAGCAUCUUCCAUCCUGGCACUUGGUUGAUUCAUCCAUUUUAGCUUCGUCCAUCAGCAUCACUUGGAGAUCACUUCCACUCGUCUUCCAUAGCACGUGAUCAAUUAACGUAC